GAGGCUAUAGCUCAGUGGUAAAAGCGCGUGCUUAGCAUGCACGAGGUCCUGGGUUCAAUCUCCAGUACUUCCA
rnacentral:tRNA from 1 species